rnacentral:rRNA from 1 species
AGUGAACGUUGGCGGUAGGCCUAACACAUGCAAGUCGAACGGCAGCACAGUAAGAGCUUGCUCUUACGGGUGGCGAGUGGCGGACGGGUGAGGAAUACAUCGGAAUCUACUUUUUCGUGGGGGAUAACGUAGGGAAACUUACGCUAAUACCGCAUACGACCUACGGGUGAAAGUAGGGGAUCUUCGGACCUUGCGCGAUUGAAUGAGCCGAUGUCGGAUUAGCUAGUUGGCGGGGUAAAGGCCCACCAAGGCGACGAUCCGUAGCUGGUCUGAGAGGAUGAUCAGCCACACUGGAACUGGGACACGGUCCAGACUCCUACGGGAGGCAGCAGUUGGGAAUAUUGGACCAUGGGCGCAAGCCUGAUCCAGGCAUACCGGGUGGGCGAAGAAGGCCUUCGGGUUGGAAAGCCCUUUUUUUGGGAAAGAAAAGCAGCAGGUUAAUACCCCGCUGUUCUGACGGUACCCAAAGAAUAAGCACCGGCUAACUUCGUG